UCAAAAUUGAAAGAAGUAACAUCCUUGGGUCACUGUUUGAAGUAAAAUUGGAAAAUCCAGCUGUGCCUUUUUCUGCUGUAAGUUUUCGUUCGAUUAGAAACAAACUAGAAAAGUCAUCCACCAAAGUAAAUUCUCGUCUGUUUUACCUUAAACUUUAAACACACAUAUAUCAUCAGCCAAAUGAAAAUCAUCACACUUCAAGAAGAAGCACAUAACAGGAAUCAAUAUAAGUUCCAGAAAGAAGCGUCUGAAAAUUAAAUUCAUUUUACGAGUUCCGCAACACCAGAUGAAGACAACUUUAUGCUGCCCUGUGGACGAAAUCUUGGAAUGAAAUUCUUCUUAUAAGAUUUGUUCGGGUGCGCUGUUGUGAGUGUACAGUGUACAUUUUCUGAUAAUGAUGGCGAUCGGGAUGCGGAUUCAAUUUAUCGGACAUGGCCUGAUGUGACAAUCAUGAGAUUCUGAGGACAGUUUGAUAAAUAAAGAUAUUGUUAAAAUUGAUCAUGGUGGAUGAGAAACGCUAUUUAUGUUGACUGUGGAACAUUUCCAAAUAUUCUAAGAUCAAACAAAAUGUUCAGGAAAGCGAAAUAAAACCAUAUCAAAUAACAUCAGUAUAAUUUAUAUAUUCUAUUACUAAUUUAUUCACAAUACAUAGGGAAUUGUAUAUCAAAAUUUAAAGCAUUACAACGAUACAAAUGGAACAAUUUUGAAAUUAACAAGAACAAAAGUUUACACAUUCCCGACAAAACCCAGUUUUUACAAAUAUACAACUAACACACUAUAGUAGUACCAACAAAACAUAUCUAAUUGAUAACAAUACUGUAAUAUUCUUGUGCUAUGUACAUUGACUAUGAAACGGAGCUACCGUACUGCACAACUGUUACGUUACAAUGCACAACUGUUACGUUACAAUGUAAAAAUGUUACGUUACAAUGCACAACUGAUACGUUACAAUACACUGCCAUUCACCACAGAAAGUAAUAUCGAUAAUUUACAUUAAUUGUUUCGUUUUUUAAUAAGCACUUGCCAACCGGUAUUUUAAAAUUAAGAAUACGAGGUAGUCAUAAGCAAACAGUAGAAAAAAUACGCUAAAACAGUGGUUUUCUAUAAACAUGGAAUACAGUAGUAACAAAAGCUUAACAAUAUAAUGAUCCAUACAAGGUACUUUAAAAGAUACAAAACUAUUAAAAUGCAAAGUAAAUUAGUCAGCUUAAAAAUGUUUCUGGAAUGUUUAAAGCGUAUGAAAAUAAUUAUCUGGCUUAGAAUUAACUUUACUUAAAAAAAGA